rnacentral:rRNA from 1 species
UACGUAGGGUGCGAGCGUUGCCCGGAUUUAUUGGGCGUAAAGGGCGCGUAGGCGGCCACGCACGUCCGUUGUGAAAUCGCCCGGCUCAACUGGGCGGGGUCAGCGGAUACGGUGUGGCUCGAGCAAGCUAGGGGGCAAUGGAAUUCCCGGUGUAGUGGCGGAAUGCGCAGAUAUCGGGAAGAACGCCCGUGGCUAAGGCGGCUCUCUAGUACGGUACUGACGCUGAGACGCGAAAGCGUGGGGAGCGAACAGG